AUUGAACGCUGGCGGAAUGCUUUACACAUGCAAGUCGAACGGCAGCACGGGGGCAACCCUGGUGGCGAGUGGCGAACGGGUGAGUAAUACAUCGGAACGUGCCCAGUCGUGGGGGAGUAACGUAGCGAAAGCUACGCUAAUACCGCAUACGAUCUACGGAUGAAAGCGGGGGAUCGCAAGACCUCGCGCGAUUGGAUGAGCCGACGUCGGAUUAGCUAGUUGGAGGGGUAAAGGCCCACCAAGGCGACGAUCCGUAGCUGGUCUGAGAGGAUGAUCAGCCACACUGGAACUGAGACACGGUCCAGACUCCUACGGGAGGCAGCAGUGGGGAAUAUUGGACAAUGGGCGCAAGCCUGAUCCAGCAAUGCCGCGUGUGUGAAGAAGGCCUUC
rnacentral:rRNA from 1 species